rnacentral:rRNA from 1 species
ACGGGAGGCAGCAGUGAGGAAUAUUGGUCAAUGGUCGGAAGACUGAACCAGCCAAGUAGCGUGAAGGAUGACUGCCCUAUGGGUUGUAAACUUCUUUUAUGCGGGAAUAAAAAAGUCCACGUGUGGGCUCUUGCAUGUACCGCAUGAAUAAGGAUCGGCUAAUUCCGUGCCAGCAGCCGCGGUAAUACGGAAGAUCCGAGCGUUAUCCGGAUUUAUUGGGUUUAAAGGGAGCGUAGGCGGGCCUUUAAGUCAGUGGUCAAAGCGUGUGGCUCAACCACACCACGCCGUUGAUACUGGAGGCCUUGAGUGCACAUAAGGAUGGUGGAAUUCAUGGUGUAGCGGUGAAAUGCUUAGAUAUGACGAAGAACUCCGAUUGCGAAGGCAGCCUUCUGGAGUGCGAUUGACGCUGAGGCUCGAAAGCGCGGGUAUCAAACAGGAUUAGAUACCCUGGUA